AUCUUUGCGCAGUGGCAGUAUCGUAGUCAAUGAGGUUCUACCGAGGCGCGAUUAUUGCUAAUUGAAAACUGCAACCAAUUCCCGCACGUCUUUGCUCUGCUAGACGAUGCAAUUUCUGUGAGCCCACUUGUGGG